GAAAACGAGCAGUGAGAGCAGCGUGUAUGAGUGAGGCUGUGAGGAAAAGAAAGAGGACCAAGAGAUAGCAAAGAUAAUGCAAAGUGAGUUAAACAACAAAACAUCAAGCUUCUCAAGACAGGGUGGCUUCAUGUGUUGAUACUGCCGGUAAAGUGAAGGGAGUUGCCCUAACAAAUCAUGGGCUUACACCUUACAACACAACACCCACGUUUCAGCUUUUUGUGCAGAAUCAGGCUGGACAUGUAAGGCAAGGCUAAGCUGAUCAAUUGUUGGCUCAGCUUUAUUCUAAUGUUAACUUCAGCUCUUAAUUUCAGAGUUGCUUCUGACUAGUUAUUACCUAAAGUGUUUGAAUUUUUUAUUUUUAUUUUUUUAAAUCAUUUGUGUUUACUUCUAAACUUUAGGAUGCAUGGUUCACCCCAGGGAGAAGUCAUAAACCCGCAACAGGCUUUCUGGAAGAGCGUCUCCGCAAUGUCAGAAAAAGGCUCCACUCUGGCAGACGGGUACAUUUAACAUCACAAGUGCCACAACACACCCGGGUCAUUUUGCCAGAACCAACUAUAACUCCAGAGCGGGCCAUCCAGUUGACGGAGUGGCUGAAAAACAACAUCUGGCCCCAGUCCCAGGUUGGCCAACACAUGUUGGAGACUGCUCUCCAUCGGGCCCAGUGGAUCCGUUCUAAUGGGACCACAUCACUGCUGGACAUUAUCACAGAGUUCCCACGCUUAGUGGACACUCCAGGCAUGAUUUCUCAGGAUUUCUCAGUAUUACAUCCAGAGUCCUCUGGGAGACUGACUGAGAACUGGAACCCUCUGUUCUCAGCCAAGAUCAUCUGC